rnacentral:sRNA from 1 species
CGCUAUACUACCCCUCGAAAUUGCCGGUUCACCGCUUCGGACCGGCUUUCAUUGUGU